GACGAACGCUGGCGGCGUGCUUAACACAUGCAAGUCGAACGGAAAGGCCCUGCUUUUGUGGGGUGCUCGAGUGGCGAACGGGUGAGUAACACGUGAGUAACCUGCCCUUGACUUUGGGAUAACUUCAGGAAACUGGGGCUAAUACCGGAUAGGAGCUCCUGCUGCAUGGUGGGGGUUGGAAAGUUUCGGCGGUUGGGGAUGGACUCGCGGCUUAUCAGCUUGUUGGUGGGGUAGUGGCUUACCAAGGCUUUGACGGGUAGCCGGCCUGAGAGGGUGACCGGCCACCUUGGGACUGAGAUACGGCCCAGACGCCUACGGGAGGCAGCAGUGGGGAAUAUUGCACAAUGGGCGGAAGCCUGAUGCAGCAACGCCGCGUGCGGGAUGACGGCCUUCGGGGUGUAAACCGCUUUCGCCUGUGACGAAGCGUGAGUGACGGUAAUGGGUAAAGAAGCACCGGCUAACUACGUG
rnacentral:rRNA from 1 species